GUGCCAGCAGCCGCGGUAAUACGGAGAGGGCUAGCGUUGUUCGGAAUUACUGGGCGUAAAGCGCACGUAGGCGGCUUUGCAAGUUAGAGGUGAAAGCCCGGGGCUCAACUCCGGAAUUGCCUUUAAAACUGCAUCGCUAGAAUUGUGGAGAGGUAAGUGGAAUUCCGAGUGUAGAGGUGAAAUUCGUAGAUAUUCGGAAGAACACCAGUGGCGAAGGCGACUUACUGGACACAUAUUGACGCUGAGGUGCGAAAGCGUGGGGAGCAAACAGGGUUAGAUACCCUGGUAGUCCACGCCGUAAACGAUGAUGACUAGCUGUCGGGGCGCUUGGCGUUCCGGUGGCGCAGCUAACGCGUUAAGUCAUCCGCCUGGGGAGUACGGCCGCAAGGUUAAAACUCAAAGAAAUUGACGGGA
rnacentral:rRNA from 1 species